rnacentral:misc_RNA from 1 species
UUGAAGUUAACAAGCUGAUGGAAAACAGAAGUCCAAAAGAGAAACUUUGCAAUAAUCCCCAUGUUGGGACAAGGAAUGGACUUUCAUGUAGAGUCUAGCAGACCAAUUAACAACCUACUUGCUUUACUAAAAAGCAAUUUUAGUUUCGUGACCCACUUUUUAAGGGAAUAUUUUCUCUUUCAAAAUUUUUACUGCUUGUGAUUUACCUUGCAUCAUUGUAUGCUGCAAAAGCCACAACAUGAA